AUGCUUGCUAUGGCAGCAUAAAUACUAAAAUUCAAGCCUACAGAGGAAAUUAGCAUAGCCCCUGUGUAAGGAUGACGUGAAGAUUCAUGAAGCAUUCCAUAUUUUU
ensembl:snRNA U6 U6 spliceosomal RNA